GUCCCUCAAAAAGCUUAACCGAUAACACACACACAUAAAAAAGGGAAAUCAAGGAAAAAACAAAAACAAAACAAGAAAAACAACAAGAACAAAAGCUCACUCUGCCACAUGCAAACAAACAAACAAACAAACAAAAAAAAGAGAAAGAAAAACACCAGAGAGAGAGAGAGAGAGAGAGAGAGAUUCACUCAUUCCAGUCUCAUGUUGUCAGUCUUAAGUUCUUCAAUAAGUCCACAUAAGGGAUUGAAUUCUAUAUAAUGUGGGGUUAGAUUUCAUUAUUAAAGGACUUAGGAUUAAACAGACAUUGCAUACACUGACUCUAUUAACAUCACUAUUACGGUUAUUAUUAUUAUUAUUAUUAUUAUUAUUAUUAUUAUUAUUAUUAUUAUUAUUAUUAUUAUAGGGUUAGUUGUUAGUGUGUGUGUGUGUGUGUGUGUGUGUGUGUUGCUAAUCCUUCUUAUUUUCAUUUUUUUUGUCUAUGUAUAAUUUGGUAAAACAAUGUCCAUGUAUAAGUUAGGUACACACACACACACACACACCACAAACAAAAAUAAAUAAAUAAAUAAAUAAAAAUAAUAUGUAUAAUAAUAUCCAUGCAACUUCACGUAUAGCAAAACCACAAGCCAUGAAGUGUAACAAGCUCAUAACAGUGUAUUGCCAGCAGUACAACACAAUAUAUAUAUACACACUAUGACAUAAGGUUAAGGAGGUCAAGUCUGGUAUCAUCAAGCACUCGGGUCCUAAGAGGUCAAGGCUGGUAUAAUCAAACUCGUAGAAGCCUUGGUCCACCCAUUCAAAAAGGCUCUCACAGAAGCUACAGGGGUUUCCAAGGGGGGUAUCUUGACCCUGGUGGUAGUUUUGGAAGUCUUCUGUGCCGUGAAUGGGAAAAACACUAACGGUAGCCUGUUGAAUCUCCUCUGUGGCCUCCAAAAUUGGUCCCAACAAGAGCUCGAAAGGUUUGAUGAUACAAGUCCAAGUCAGUCAUUGUAAGUCAGUCUCAAUUUGAACCUAAACUGCUUAAUGGACAGUGCUUAGAAGGGAGGGUGAGGCUUAGGGGAAGGGUCAUGCUACCAGGCAGCGAGGGGUCAAGUCUCGCCCCUAUACAAUAAUCACUCUCUGUAAGCAAGAAUUUCCAGCUGAACAUGUCAUCAUAUGGACAGUGUUUAGAAGAGAGGGUGAGGGUUAGGGGAAGGGUCAUGGUACCAGGCAGAGAGGGGUCAAGUCUCACCCCUAUACAAGACUUAUCACUCUCUGUAAGCAAGAAUUUCCAGCUGAACAUAAGUCAUCAUAUGGACAGUGUUUAGAAGAGAGGGUGAGGGUUAGGGGAAGGGUCAUGCUACCAGGCAGAGAGGGGUCAAGUCUCGCCCCUAUACAAUAAUCACUCUCUGUAAGCAAGAAUUUCCAGCUGAACAUAAGUCAUCAUAUGGACAGUGUUUAGAAGAGAGGGUGAGGGUUAAGGGAAGGGUCAUGGUACCAGGCAGAGAGGGGUCAAGUCUCACCCCUAUACAAUAAUCACUUUCUGUAAGCAAGAAUUUCCAGCUGAACAUGUCAUCAUAUGGACAGUGUUUAGAAGAGAGGGUGAGGGUUAAGGGACAGGGCAUGCUAGCCAACAGAGACCCUUAAAGCAUAAACAUCACAGCCUCAGAAUAUCACAACAGCCAGCCAGCCACAUUGAUACAAGCCAUAGCUAUCACUCAUCUCCUUAUCCCAGUUAGGUUAGGUGUAAGGGAUGAGAGAGAGAGAGAGGGAGCCCAGUUAGGUUAGGUGUAAGGAAUGAGAGAGAGAACGAGAGAGAGGGAGAGAGAGGGAGAGGGAUAGUUUUAGAUGCAUUCAAAACCAUGGUAUGUUAGUAUUUAAGGGAGGUUAGGUUAGGGGUAUAUUAGAACAUGCAGUGGUGGUGGUAGUAAUAGUAGUAGUAGUAGUAGUAGAAUAAAAAGUAAUUUGGAAAGAAAAACAGACAGAUAGACAGAUAGACGGAUAGUUAAAUGAAAAGAAAGAAAAAAAAAAAAGAAAGGACACACACACACACACACACACACACACACAAGCAAACAAACAACCAAGCAGAUACAGGCACAAGCAGCAGUUACAGGCACAAGCAGGAACAGGUAACAUCAGUCUGUAUGUAAGUCUGUAGGCAUUGAGCAAGGGGGCCGAGGUAGGCAGCCAGCAUCCCACCUUCGUUCUUGGUCACAGUGAGGAGGGUCAUCUCGUCAGGCUGUCCCCCCCGCCCCACCACAGAGCUCACUGCGGUGGGGGAAGGGACUGGAGAGGUGGGUGAGUAAGUGGGUGAACAAGUCUUGAUUCUGAACCCAACGCACACUUAUAGGUUCUCUUGGGAAAUGAUAGGUAGGUGGGUAGGUGGUUGGGUAAGGUAGGAAGGUGGGGAGGAGGGUUGAAAAGUCUUGAUUCUGAGCCCAACACACACACUUAGGUUCUCUUGGGAAAUGAUAGGUAGGUGGGUAGGUGGUUGGGUAAGGUAGGAAGGUGGGGAGGAGGGUUGAAAAGUCUUGAUUCUGAGCCCAACACACACACUUAGGUUCUCUUGGGGUAUGGUAGGGUCAGGUAGGAAGGGGGAGGGGGUGUGGAGAGGGUAGGGUAGGUCGCAGUGCCCAGCCUAACACACAUAUAUUUAGCUUCUCAUGGGAAUUGUAAGGUAAGGUAAGUAAGGUCAGAAGCCAGAGAGGUGGAUGGGUAAGUCUUGAUUCUGAGCCCAUCACACACAUUCAGGUUCUCUUAGGAAUUGUAAGGUAAGGUAAGUAAGGUCAGAAGCCAGAGAGGUGGAUGGGUAAGUCCUGAUUCUGAACCCAUCACACACAUUCAGGUUCUCUUGGGAAUUGUAUGGUAAGGUAAGUAAGGUUAGAAGCCAGAGAGGUGGGUUGAAAAGUCUUGAUUCUGAACCCAUCACACACAUUCAGGUUCUCUUAGGAAUUGUAAGGUAAGGUAAGUAAGGUAGGAAGCCAGAGAGGAGGGUUGAAAAGUCUUGAUUCUGAACCCAUCACACACAUUCAGGUUCUCUUGGGAAUUGUAAGGUAAGGUAAGUAAGGUUGGAAGCCAGAGAGGUGGAUGGGUAAGUCCUGAUUCUGAGCCCAUCACACACAUUCAGGUUCUCUUGGGAAUUGUAAGGUAAGGUAAGUAAGGUCGGAAGCCAGAGAGGUGGAUGGGUAAGUCCUGAUUCUGAACCCAUCACACACAUUCAGGUUCUCUUGGGAAUUGUAAGGUAAGGUAAGUAAGGUUAGAAGCCAGAGAGGUGGGUUGAAAAGUCUUGAUUCUGAGCCAAACACACACAUUCAGGUUCUCUUGGGAAUUGUAAGGCAGGGUGGGUAAGUGGUUGGGUAAGGUAGGAAGCCAGAGAGGAGGGUUGAAAAGUCUUGAUUCUGAGCCAAACACACACAUUUAGGUUCUCUUGGGAAUU